rnacentral:rRNA from 1 species
GAGCAUAUCAAUAAGCGGAGGAAAAGAAACCAACAGGGAUUGCCCUAGUAACGGCGAGUGAAGCGGCAACAGCUCAAAUUUGAAAUCUGGCGCAAGCCCGAGUUGUAAUUUGCUGAGGAUGCUUCUGGGCAGCGGCCGGUCUAAGUUCCUUGGAACAGGACGUCAUAUAGGGUGAGAAUCCCGUAUGCGACCGGAUGGCACCCGUCACGUAGCUCCUUCGACGAGUCCAGUUGUUUGGGAAUGCAGCUCUAAAUGGGUGGGAAAUGUCAUCUAAAGCUAAAUACCGGCCAGAGACCGAUAGCGCACAAGUAGAGUGAUCGAAAGAUGAAAAGUACUUUGGAAAGAGAGUUAAAAAGCACGUGAAAUUGUUGAAAGGGAAGCGCAUGCAACCAGACUUGUCCGCGGUGUUCCGCCGGUCUUCUGACCGGUCUACUCGCCGCGGGCAGGCCAGCAUCGUCUGGGCGCGCCGGAAAAAGGCGCAGGGAAUGUAGCCCCUCGGGGUGUUAUAGCUCUGCGCACAAUACGGCGCCGCCCGGGCGAGGUCCGCGCUUCGGCUAGGAUGCUGGCGUAAUGGUUGUCUGCGGCCCGUCUUGAAACACGGACCAAGGAGUCUAACAUCUAUGCGAGUGUUCGGGUGUCAAACCCCUACGCGGAAUGAAAGUGAACGGAGGUGGGAGCCCUCGGGCGCACCAUCGACCGAUCCUGAUGUCUUCGGAUGGAUUUGAGUAAGAGCAUAGCUGUUGGGACCCGAAAGAUGGUGAACUAUGCCUGAAUAGGGUGAAGCCAGAGGAAACUCUGGUGGAGGCUCGCAGCGGUUCUGACGUGCAAAUCGAUCGUCAAAUUUGGGUAUAGGGGCGAAAGACUAAUCUAACCAUCUAGUAGCUGGUUCCUGUCGA